rnacentral:rRNA from 1 species
AGUGAACGCUGGCGGUAGGCCUAACACAUGCAAGUCGAACGGCAGCACAGUAAGAGCUUGCUCUUACGGGUGGCGAGUGGCGGACGGGUGAGGAAUACAUCGGAAUCUACUUUUUCGUGGGGGAUAACGUAGGGAAACUUACUCUAAUACCGCAUACGACCUACGGGUGAAAGCAGUGGAUCUUCUGACCUUGCGCGAUUGAAUGAGCCGAUGUCGGAUUAGCUAGUUGGCGGGGUAAAGGCCCACCAAGGCGACGAUCCGUAGCUGGUCUGAGAGGAUGAUCAGCCACACUGGAGCUGAGACACGGUACAGGCUCCUACGGGAGGCAGCAGUGGGGAAUAUUGGACGAUGGGCGCAAGACUGAUCCAGCCAUGCCGCGUGGAUGAAGAAGGCCUUCGGGUUGUAAAGCGCUUUUGUUGGGAAAGAAAAGCAGCAGGUUAAUACCACGCUGUUCUGACGGUACCCGAAGAAUAAGAACCGGCUAACUUCGU